ACUUCCCAGGGCUCAAGACGUUUCGUUCUCGGGCACAAAGCCUUCGCCGAGGAGAAACGGUAACUGUGUGAGCUGUGAACACUGCCACGCCUCGCCCUGCGGGUUUGUCAACAAAGGGAAGUCCACAGAUUGGGAAAUGCGUUCCCUUUGUACUGGCUUCUGUGUAAAUCUCCUGGCGUGUGGUCAGUUUUCGUUUUUACUGCAAGGUAACCUGUCCGUGAAUAGCAGGAGACCCUCCUGAUGCAAGGAAGGGAGGGUAAGGUCAUUCUCGGCAGAGGGAGCAAACUGGGCAAGCACAGGUGGGAAGAAACAUGGAAGAGAGAACCAUUCUAGACGAAGCUUCUGGAAAGGAGGGACUGAAGGGUUGCAGAAGUUGGUACAUUGUCAAGGACCUUAAAUAUCUUGGGGCCUUCAUUCUCAGAUGCACCAUUUAACCAAAUGUAGCCGGAGCGCCCAGAGACUGUCAGGGCCCCGAGCCAGCGUGGUGCAUGUGCCCAGAGUAAAAGCCAUUCACAUCUUUCCCGGGGACCAGAAAAUCGAAAAGGCUGUGAUUCUUGGCACUUGUUACCCCGUUUUCUACAAGCAGAGCCCCUGGGCCAAAGCUGGCACUAGCAGAGAUUCUCUCUCCAGAGAAAGGGAGAUGGAGCCAAAGAAAAACGUUUUCGGGUGUAAGGGGAGAAUCAAACAUAUGAUUUUACCUUUUUUUUUUUUUUUUUAAUCCCUAUUGCAUACAGGCCCUCUAAUAAUUAUGGAGGACAGCAUGGACAGGUGAGAUCCUUGGGAAAAAAUAAGCUGCAGAGCUGUCCCCAUCAUCCAGGUAGGAGCUGAGUUUCCAAACUAAGGCGGUGACCAUGGGGAGAAAUGGGGAACUGACCACACAGAUUCCUUAAAGGUAGAACCCAACAGGUCUUGAGGUCUAAUUAUACUAAACAUGCAGGGGAAGACAGACUCCCAGACACCACACGGGUUCUAGCUGAGCUACGUGAGUUGACGAGCUCUAGUGGAGUGUGUCAUGGGUAACAGAAGGAAUCUCUACAACAAUGAGUCUGAGGGGCCAGUGGGAGACUCCGAUUUACUCCCUACUGGCUAUCUGCACGGCCUAGAUGGGCCUGAGAGAGAGGUGUGGGCUGUGGAGGGUUGUCUUUCACUCAGAGAUGGUCAGUGAGGUCACGGGGGAGCACAUGCGCUUGCCUCGAAGGAGAGGCAGCUGGUAGAUUCGGCUCGUUGCGGAGUUACAGGGCCGCCCAGCGAGUGGAAGGCCUCGAGCACCCAGAGCAGCGUUCUGCAGACGUGAGCGCUCCCGGAGCGCCUCUAGAGCAGGUCGCUGACCCUGCCCGUGUGGAUGAGCGACAUCUAGGAGGGGAGCGCCUUGCCUGCAGUCCCACAACUCUGGUGGUGGCGCCGCGCUGCGAGUUCAGGUCUGUUAGGUCGUUGGUCCUUCAUCUUCAUGUCUUUCACAGAUAUCGAGGAUCGCAUGAAAGGAGGGACAGGCCCACUCUCCCAGAGGCACAGACACAUCACACUUCACGUUCCAUUGCCGGGACCCGACAGACCCGCAGCCCAUCCUCCACAGCGCAGCAAGCGCUGGCUCGAAGCAAGCCCACGAUGAAACUCCGUAUUUUGGUGAAGACUGGUCAGUAAAGUGAAAUAACCAGAUCAGGGAAGGUAGAGGGUGAGAUGGAGAUGGUUUCGUUACAAGUUCAGGUAAGACCGUUGAUAGCGUUGUCAUUAACAACCUCAUCGGCCAGCUCAGUUUGCGUGUGCUCCCGCCUCUUUCUCCAGGAUAACUGGAACGGCGGGUGUUGAUUGAGUGGGAAAGCUAGAACUUGGGCAGGGAGCUAGCCAAGGGAUUAAAGCAUGUGAGUGAGGGUUUGGCUAAGUCACUGGUGAUGGUCUUGACCCCAGGGCUAGAGCUGGAAGCUGCCGUGUAGAAUCUGCGGGCGCUCAGAGACCUUUUAUUCGUAAUCACCCUCCCAGUAAAGUCUUCUGAUCCCCCUCCAAGUAACUCGUCUGUGAUGAGACCAGUGAAGCGAUUUGUUCAAGGUCACAGAGCAAUGUCCACGUUUAAGUUAGUGUGGGUGUUAACGGAGGAGGGGUUAACAAAGGUGGAUCCGGUGGCAGAGUUAGGAGGGUGGCAGAGCGCUUUGAGGGACAGGUCAGGGGACAGAGGGGUUGGAUGGUGAGGUCAGUGGAAUACCAGGCUUCAGUUUUCACAACAGAGCUGUUCAGAGGCGCUUGUGAUUCCUGCA